rnacentral:rRNA from 1 species
UACGUAGGGGGCAAGCGUUGUCCGGAAUCAUUGGGCGUAAAGAGCGUGUAGGCGGCUUGGUAAGUCCGCUGUGAAAGCCCGGGGCUCAACCCCGGGAGGCGGGCGGAUACUGUCGGGCUAGAGUCCGGAAGAGGCGAGUGGAAUUCCCGGUGUAGCGGUGAAAUGCGCAGAUAUCAGGAGGAACACCAAUGGCGAAGGCAGCUCGCUGGGACGGUACUGACGCUGAGACGCGAAAGCGUGGGGAGCAAACAGG